AUACGGAGGAUCCGAGCGUUAUCCGGAUUUAUUGGGUUUAAAGGGUGCGCAGGCGGGAGAUUAAGUCGGCGGUGAAAUUUUGCAGCUCAAAUGUAAAAGUGCCUUCGAAACUGGUUUCCUUGAGUGUAGAUGAAGUAGGCGGAAUUUGUGGUGUAGCGGUGAAAUGCAUAGAUAUCACGAGGAACUCCGAUUGCGCAGGCAGCUUACUAAACUACUACUGACGCUCAGGCACGAAGGCGUGGGGAUCAAACAGGAUUAGAUACCCUGGUAGUCCACGCAGUAAACGAUGAUUACUAGCUGUUUGCGAUACAAUGUAAGCGGCUGAGCGAAAGCGUUAAGUAAUCCACCUGGGGAGUACGUUCGCAAGAAUGAAACUCAAAGGAAUUGACGGGG
rnacentral:rRNA from 1 species